rnacentral:misc_RNA from 1 species
ACCCGCGCGUCAAUCACUUGUA